rnacentral:rRNA from 1 species
UACGUAGGGUGCAAGCGUUGUCCGGAAUUAUUGGGCGUAAAGAGCUCGUAGGCGGUUUGUCGCGUCUGCUGUGAAAACGCGAGGCUCAACCUCGCGCCUGCAGUGGGUACGGGCAGACUAGAGUGCGGUAGGGGAGAUUGGAAUUCCUGGUGUAGCGGUGGAAUGCGCAGAUAUCAGGAGGAACACCGAUGGCGAAGGCAGAUCUCUGGGCCGUAACUGACGCUGAGGAGCGAAAGCGUGGGGAGCGAGCAGG